rnacentral:rRNA from 1 species
UGGGGAAUAUUGGACAAUGGGCGCAAGCCUGAUCCAGCAAUGCCGCGUGUGUGAAGAAGGCCUUCGGGUUGUAAAGCACUUUUAUCAGGAGCGAAACGCUGUCGGCUAAUACCCGGCGGAACUGACGGUACCUGAGGAAUAAGCACCGGCUAACUUCGUGCCAGCAGCCGCGGUAAUACGAAGGGUGCAAGCGUUAAUCGGAAUUACUGGGCGUAAAGCGUGCGUAGGCGGUUUCUUAAGUCUGCUGUGAAAUCCCCGGGCUCAACCUGGGAAUGGCAGUGGAUACUGGGAGGCUAGAGUGUGUCAGAGGGUGGUGGAAUUCCCGGUGUAGCGGUGAAAUGCGUAGAGAUCGGGAGGAACAUCAGUGGCGAAGGCGGCCACCUGGGACAACACUGACGCUGAGGCACGAAAAGCGUGGGGAGCAAACAGGAUUAGAUACCCUGGUAGUCCACGCCCUAAACGAUGCGAACUGGAUGUUGGUCUCAACUCGGAGAUCAGUGUCGAAGCUAACGCGUUAAGUUCGCCGCCUGGGGAGUACGGUCGCAAGACUGAAACUU